AACGAACGCUGGCGGCAUGCCUAACACAUGCAAGUCGAACGAAGGCCUCGGCCUUAGUGGCGCACGGGUGCGUAACGCGUGGGAAUCUGCCCUUAGGUUCGGAAUAACAGCUGGAAACGGCUGCUAAUACCGGAUGAUAUCGCGAGAUCAAAGAUUUAUCGCCUGAGGAUGAGCCCGCGUUGGAUUAGGUAGUUGGUGGGGUAAAGGCCUACCAAGCCGACGAUCCAUAGCUGGUCUGAGAGGAUGAUCAGCCACACUGGGACUGAGACACGGCCCAGACUCCUACGGGAGGCAGCAGUGGGGAAUAUUGGACAAUGGGCGCAAGCCUGAUCCAGCAAUGCCGCGUGAGUGAUGAAGGCCCUAGGGUUGUAAAGCUCUUUUACCCGGGAAGAUAAUGACUGUACCGGGAGAAUAAGCCCCGGCUAACUCCGUGCCAGCCGCCGCCGUAA
rnacentral:rRNA from 1 species